UAUGGCCACAUCACAUUGAAACACCCGUUCCCAUAUGUUCAACAAAGUUGAGCAACACUGAGCCUGGUCAGUACAUAGAUGAGUGACCACUUGGGAAUACCAGAUGCUGUAAG